UAUCUUCUUCUUCAAGCUUAACUCAACAUUCUCCCCCUUAAGCUUGAACACACUAUUCUUCAAAUCUUGAACUCCAAUCAAAUCUCUCAUUUCUUUAAACUUGAUCUUCCCUAGAGCUUUUGUUAGAAUAUCCGCCUUUUGCUCGGUUCCGGGAACAUGCUCUACUUCGAUAUGCCCAUUCUCAACACAUUCCCUUAUAAAAUGAUACCUUCUAUGUAUGUGCUUACUUCUCCCAUGAAAAACCGGAUUCUUGGUGAGUGCUAUUGCUGACUUGUUGUCCAUAAGAAUGGUAACUCUUGCACUAGGUUUACCAAAGAUCUCACUUAACAAAUCUUGAAGCCAUAUAGCUUGUUUUGCAGCCUCGGUACCUGCCAUAAACUCAGCCUCACACGACGACAUUGCCACCGUGUGUUGUUUCUGUGAGCACCAUGUAAUGGGGAACUUGUUGAGAUAGAAUAUGUGACCCGCUGUGCUUCGUCCGUCAUCUCUAUCCAUGUUAUGAGAGCUAUCACUGUAUCCUAUUAAACCUGUUUUAUCUCCACGAGUAAAAUUCAGACCAUAACAAGAAGUUCCCCGUAAGUAUCUAAGUAUUACUUUCAUUGCUGCUCCAUGUGUUCGCUUAGGUUCAUGCAUAUACCUACUCAAAAUGCUUACACAAUAUGCAAGAUCAGGCCUUGUAUGGAGUAAAUAUCGGAGGCAUCCAAUAUUACGUCUAUACUCUGUUUCAUCUAUGUUGUCUUCUUCGUGUGACUUAGAUACUUCAAGACCUGCUUCCAUUGGUAUGUGAACUAAGUUGCAGUCCUUCAUACCAGUUUCUUCAAGAAUCUUCUCAGCAUAUCUCUCUUGACUUAGCAUUAUACCACCAUUAUAUUGCAGGACUUCAAUACCCAAAUAGUAUGUCAGUUUUCCAAGAUCACUCAUUUCAAACUUUGAUGCCAUCCCCUUCUUAAAUUCAAGUAUUAAACUUAAACUUGACCCCGUGACCAGGAGAUCAUCCACAUAAACGGCGACGAUAAGUAAGUGCUCCUUCUCUUGCUUUCUAUACAAUGAUGGUUCUUUAGAGCACUUGACAAAUUUCAACUCCAUGAGAAUUCCAUUCAGUUUGUUGUUCCAAGCUCUUGGUGCUUGCCUUAAACCGUAAAGUGCCUUGUUUAACUUGUAGACUUUGUCUUCACUUCCUUUAAUCACAAAACCUUCUGGCUGUUUGACAAACACCACUUCUUUUAAUUCUCCAUGUAAGAAAGCAGUCUUUACAUCAAGAUGAUGGACUUCCCAAGAGUUUGAAGCUGCUAAGGCGAGAAUGAACCGGAUUGUCUCGAUGCGAGCCACAGGAGCGAACACCUCGUCGAAGUCUACUCCUUGUCUUUGUAUGUAACCCUUAGCUACAAGCCUAGCCUUGUACUUGUUUAAGCUCCCAUCAGAAUUUCUUUUGAUUUUAAACACCCAUUUUAACCCAAUUGCCUUGGCUCCUUGAGGAAGUGAAACCAGAUUCCAAGUUCCAUUCUUAUUGAUAGAAGAGAUCUCUUCUUGACAAGCAUCUCUCCAUUCUUUCAUCUCUUUUGCCUCAUCAUAGUUCCAUGGUUCCUCAUUCAUAGCUAAUAAAAGCUUUUCACACUCGAUUGCAGCCAAUAAGACAUAGUCUUCCAAGUAUUUGGGUUUUGAUAUUCGUCGUGUUGAUCUCCUCAGAACUGGGUUGUCACCUUCGUCUUGAAUUUCUUCCUCUCUCUCAUCAUCGAUCUCAUCUCCUUGAACAUGAUCAUCACUAGAAUCAGAGAAUGAUUUAACACUUCCAUCAUCAUCUUCUCGUCGUUCUCUGUUUUCUUGUCGUUCUCUGUUUUCUGGUAUAACGCAAUCUUCUUCUUCUUCUCGUAUUCCAUUAUUGCCAUGCUCUCCAAAAUUAACCGUAAACAUUCCUGGUUCCUCUUCAGUGUCUUUCUCCAGAUUAUUCCACCUCCAACUCUUGCUCUCAUCAAACACCACAUCACGACUUACUGUUACCUUCUUUGUUGUCGGAUCUAGUAGUCGAUAUGCUUUUGAUCCUGGUUCCGUUCCAAGAUGUACCAGCAUUCGGGAUCUAUCAUCUAGUUUCUUCAAGUGUGGAGCUUCUAUCUUUGCGUAACCGAUACAUCCAAAGACACGAAGAUGUUCAAUGCUUGGCUUCCUUCCUUUGUAGGCUUCAUACGGAGUUUGUGCUUUCAAAGUUCUUGUUGCUACUCUGUUGAUAACAUAAGUAGCAUGCCUUACUGCUUCUCCCCAUAGAUAAUUAGGUAGGCCCAUAUGUUUAAGAAUGCUUCGAGUCAUUUCCAUGAGGGUUCUGUUUCGCCUCUCCACCACACCGUUCUGCUGCGGCGAGUAUGGUGCAGUUAGAUGUCUUUGAAUACCUGCAUUCUCACAAAAUCUUUGAAAUUCUUGUGAAACAAACUCUCCUCCCCUAUCAGUACGCAAUGUUUUAAUAAAAAAACCUGUUUCCUGUUCCACAACCUUCUUGAAGAUCUUAAAUUUUCCAAAUGCUUCUCCUUUUUCUUUUAGCAAAAUCGACCACAUGUAGCGAGAGUGGUCAUCAAUGAGCACAAAGAUAUAUCUCUUCUUUGCUGGGGUUGGAGGAGAUAUCGGUCCACACAGAUCACCAUGAAUAAGCUCUAACAACUUUGAAGCACGAAAAGAUGUUGUUUUGGGGAAAACGUGUCUAACUUGUUUCCCAAGUAGACAUGAAGAGCAAGUGCUCUUUUCAACUAUGAUAUUUGGCAUACCAAUGACUAAAUCAUUCUUAACCAUUGUUUUUAUUGCUUCCGCACCAAUAUGUCCAAGCCUUGCAUGCCAUGUUGUUGAUUCAUUCAUCUCUAAUGCGUGUAGACAGGUUGUUGGCUCAACAUACAAUCGUACUUUGUAUAAACGAUUUCUAGAGCGGUUUGUUUGAACCAGUAAUCUGCCCUCUCGAUCAUGUAGUGUUAUGAGAUCUCCUUCCAUUAGGAUUUUGCACCCAGAUUCAGUGGCUUGUCCAAGGCUA
rnacentral:lncRNA from 1 species